rnacentral:rRNA from 1 species
AGUCAAUAGAUACCCAGGUAGUCCAUGCCGUAAACGAUGAUUGCUAGGUGUGGGGGGUCUGACCCUUCCGUGCCGGAGUUAAACACAAUAAGCAAUCCACCUGGGGAGUACGGCCGCAAGGUUGAAACUCAAAGGAAUUGACGGGGGCCCGCACAAGCAGUGGAGUAUGUGGUUUAAAUUCGAAGCAACGCGAAGAACCUUACCAGGUCUUGACAUCCACCGAAUCCUGUAGAGAUACGGGAGUGCCCUUCGGGGAACGGUGAGACAGGUGGUGCAUGGUUGUCGUCAGCUCGUGUCGUGAGAUGUUGGGUUAAGUCCCGCAACGAGCGCAACCCUUGUGAAUAGUUGCUACGAAAGAGCACUCUAUUCAGACCGCCGUUGACAAAACGGAGAAGGUGGGGAUGACGUCAAAUCAUCAUGCCCCUUAUGACCUGGGCUACACACGUACUACAAUGGCCGUUAACAGAGGGAUGCAAUGCCGCGAGGUGGAGCGAACCCCUAAAAACGGUCUCAGUUCAGAUUGCAGGCUGAAACUCG